GGCAGGGUGGCUUAGCGGAAAGAGCCGGGCUUGGGAGUCAGAGGUCGUGGGUUCCAGUCCCACCUCUGCCA
rnacentral:tRNA from 1 species